GGGGGAGGGACCGCGGCGGAGGCGGGGGCGGCCAAUCUCGCCUACCGACCCCACCGCGGCCCCGGAGUCACAGGCGCGCCUCCACGUCGCUGCCUCCAGGGACUCUCCCGGGACAGACCCGCGCGCUCCCGGCCUGGAGGAAAUCGCGGUGAGAACGAACAGACUUUAAAUGGAGGAGCUUUGGUGCCUACCCCACAGGUGGAUGUGAGGAUUAAAUGAGAUCACCUAUAAGGAAGAUCGUAUCCCUGGACACAAGGAGAGUGAGGAUGGUAUGGUCGAUUGGAAAGUGCCCGCCCCCCUCAAGAUAUGUCAACAGCCUAAUCCCUGGAACCUGUGAAUGAGACCUUGUUUGGAAAAAGGACUUUGCAGAUGUGAUUAAGUUGGGGAUCCUGAGAUGAGGCGAUCGUCCUGGAUCAUCCAGACAGGCCCUAAACACCAUCACAGGUGUCCUUACAGGAGGUAUGCAGAUGGAGACUAGGCAGAUGCACAGAGGAGACGUGAUGCAAAGAUGGAGGGAUGCAGCCACAAGCCAAGGAGUGCGGAGAAGUGCCAGCAGCUACCAGGAGCUAGAAGAGGAAAGGAAGGCUUCUCCCCCAGAGCCUGGGGAGGGAGUACAGCCCUGCCAGUACCUUGAUCUCAGACUUCUGGCCUCCAGAACUGUGAGAGAAUAAAUUUUGGUUAUUUUAA